rnacentral:rRNA from 1 species
GACUACUGGGGUAUCUAAUCCCGUUUGCUCCCCACGCUUUCGCGUCUCAGCGUCAGGACAGGCCCAGUCGCCCGCUUUCGCCACCGGCGUUCCCUUAGAUAUCUACGCAUUUCACCGCUACACCUAAGGUUCCAGCGACCCAUACCUGCCUCAAGACCGAUAGUAUGCCGAGCCAUUCCCGGGUUGAGCCCGGGGAUUUCACAAGGCACUUUCCGGCCCGCCUACACGCGCUUUAAGCCCAGUAAUUCCGAACAACGCUCGGGGCCUCCGUAUUACCGCGGCUGCUGGCACGGAGUUAGCCGCCCCUUUCGUUUGCUGGUCAACUUCCCGACGUAUUGGGUCAGGUUACUUCCUGACAAACUAUUGGGGUUUACAUCCCGAAGGACUUCAUCCCCCACGCGGCGUCGCUCCGUCAGGCUUGCGCCCAUUGCGGAAUAUUCCUUACUGCAGCCGCCCGUAGG